UUUGUGUCUUAACUACCGGCUACUAUAUGAUGUUUGUCACUGUUCUCUUAUUAGGAACUUUGUCAUCGAUGCAGUUGUUUCCUGACAACGGAUGGAGUGCCUGCUGUAUUGAGAUUAUGGGUGUGGGCCACAGUGCCCAGCCAGAUGUAUCUUCUAAUCCACCAAGGGAAUCUGAACUGUUAAUUAAUUGUUAAUUGUUAAAACAUUGCUGGGGUAAGAUACACCUUUUUCUGUAGACAAAUUUGCUGAGAAUCUAAUACACAUAUGAUUUGGUUAUGAAAAACGAGACUGAGAAAGUAGAGAAGCACACACAGUGAACAUUCUUUAAUACGAGUAGACCUUAGAUCCAAGCUCACUGAGUGGUAAAUAUAUUCAGGCCAGUUCCCCAAUGAAAUAUCAUGUCCAAUGUCACUAUUUCAUUAUUAAUCCCUUCAGAGAGGAAUAAUCCCUUCAGAGGCCAGUAAGUUAGCCCUUAGCCACAUUUUGAAUGUGAAUCUAAGUAGUACAGCUCAGUAUCUUCAGGUGCUCUCUAUGUGUGCUUACACACACAUGCACACAAAUGCACACACACAUACACACACACUCACACACAUAGGGACACAUGUGCGCGCACGCAUGCGCGCGCGCGCACACACACACACACACACACACACACACACACACACACACUAGGGAUUGAACUUAGAGUCCUCAAAUGCUCUAUCAUUGAUUUUUGCCUCCAGCCUGAGAAUCUUAAUUUUAAUUUUAAUUCUUUUAAAUUUAAAUUUCAAAAUAGAUCCUUGAGUCAGUUACUAGAAAAUUAGAGUUUGGAAAAUCUUGAGUAUGUUAACAUCUUUUCACGAUUGAAAGGUUUUUGAAAUCUGAAUACUGAUAAAGUAUUUUGAUUAAAAUUUAGGAGCCUCUGGAGACUUGGCUCAGUGGCUUAGAACAUUUGUUCUUCUUCCAGAGGUUCUGAAGUCAAUUCCCAACAACGAUAUGGUGGCUCACAAUCAUCUCUAAUGGGACUCAAUGCCGUCUUCUGAUAUGUAGAUAAACAUAGUGACCGAGGACUCACAUAUGUAAAAUAAAUAAAUCUUAAAGAGAAAACUUAGGAAUCA
rnacentral:lncRNA from 1 species